rnacentral:rRNA from 1 species
GAUGAACGCUGGCGGCGUGCUUAACACAUGCAAGUCGAACGAAAAGGCGAACGGGUGAGUAACGCGUAAACAACCUGCCAUUCAGAGGGGGACAACAGUUGGAAACGACUGCUAAUACCGCAUACUGAAGGAGGGGACUGGGUCGGAUUAGCUAGGUGGAGGGGUAACGGCCCACAAAGGCGAUGAUCAGUAGCCGGUCUGAGAGGAGGAACGGCCACAUUGGGACUGAGACACGGCCCAGACUCCUACGGGAGGCAGCAGUGGGGAAUCUUCCGCAAUGGACGAAAGUCUGACGGAGCAACGCCGCGUGAGUGAUGACGGCCUUCGGGUUGUAAAGCUCUGUUAAUCGGGACGCGGUACCGGAAUAGAAAGCCACGGCUAACUACGUGCCAGCCGCCGCGGUAAUAC